rnacentral:misc_RNA from 1 species
GAUGAAGAACGUAGCGAAAUGCGAUAAGUAAUGCGAAUUGCAGAAUCCGUGAGUCAUCGAAUCUUUGAACGCACAUUGCGCCCCUUGGUUAUUCCUAAGGGCAUGCCUGUUCGAGCGUCAUUAUCACCCCUCAAGCCCUCGGCUUGGUGUUGGACGGUUUGGUGGAGGCCCCCUCGGGGGCUCCUGCCCCUCCCAAAGACAAUGACGGCGGCCUCGUUGGACCCCCGGUACACUGAGUUCUUCACGGGACACGUAUCGGACACAUGGGUUUACGGGACACGGUCUGCCUCCCCUCAGGGAGAAUCUUUCUAAGGUUGACCUCGGAUCAGGUAGGGAUACCCGCUGAACUUAAGCAUAUCAAUAAGCGGAGGA